GCUAACUUAUUAGCCUACUAAGGCAAUUAUCAACCUUCUCUUCAUUUGAUACUCCCGUAGCCCAUGUUCAAAAGAAAGAAAAAGAAGGAGAAAAGAGGGGGAUAGGAAGGAAAAGAGGGAAAGGAUAAGAGAGCAAUAAUUAUACUUUCUCCCACCUCUAUUUCUCCUACAACAAAAUCAGCAGAAAGAAAAGAAAGAAAAAGAGAGAGAAUGAAAGAGAAAGAAAGAAGAAGAUGAAACCAUGGAAGCAUGAAGGAAGAAUAAGAAAUCAAAAGGUAAAACCAAAAUUUUUCAUCUCUUUACUUUUCUUAAGAGUUUGAUUUGUUGAAAGUUGGGUUAUAGGGGAUCAUGAUGGAUCCAAAGUAAUAAGGAAGUAUAUGAUAAAUAUUUUAUGUUUAAUCUAUGUCAUAAUUGAAUUUAAGAUCAAAAAGUUAGGAAUGUGUUUGAGGAUGAAUAAAAGUUAUUUUGAGGACUUAAAUCAAACUUGUAAAAGUGUUGAUAGUUGAUUAAUGUGUAAUAUCUGAGGAGGAUGAUCUAUAGAUUAAGAAGUUAUGGAAAUAUUCCAAUUUGAACGGACUAAAAAUGAUUUAAAUCGAAGUAGUGGUGAAAGUUUUCGUAAACAUGUUAAACGAUGAAAAACUUAGUCUUGGGGGACUUUUGAGCAAAAUUUUUGAAUAAUUAAUGAAUCUGAAAAAUUAUGAAAUCAUGGAGGUUUUGUAGAGCAUGUUACAAUCUUUCCAUAACCUUGAAAAUGGACUAAUUCCGACUUAAAAUGAAGAAGUUAUAAAGAUUUGAAGUAUGUGCGUCAAAAGUUGCAAAAUCUAGAACAUUGGAGUUAAGUGCCAAGGGUCGAGCGCCUAAGCACUAGGCUCGGCGCUUAGAAUCUGUUCUAGGGCGCCUAGGCGCUUGCCCAAGGCCAAAUUUGGGCGCCUAGGCGCUGAUCUAGUGUUAAGCCAAAAUCUGUUCAGACGUCCUUUAGUAAAUUGGGCAUAACGUCUUCAUAUGAACUCCGAUUGAGGUGAUUCAGGAUGAUUUAAAAAGAUAACGAGUAGACCCAAAACUUUUAUUCUUUAUAUUUUGAGAUUUGAGGUAGUUAUCAAGGCCUAAAAUGGCUAUUUUAGUGACUAAUGUGCAUUUAGAGGCAAUCAGAGGACGUCGGGCAUGCACGUAUGCAACGUGUAAUGUUUUCGAUGAUAAAUGAUGUUGUUAUAAGUUGUAAAACAUGAAAAUUAUUAAAUAUAAUGAUAUUAUGCGAUGAAUAAAGACAACUUAAAUGAACAAUGAAUUAUUAGUUGGUGUAUAUGUUAUUCGAUAUAAUUAUGAUUUGAUGUUGAUCCUUACUUUUAAUAGAAUUUGAAUUGUUUAUAAGUAAGGUAUUAAUUUGAUUCUUACAUAAGAAGUCACUAUGUAUUUUAUUCAAUAAUUGUCACAGUAGUUAUUACACAGUGAUUCAUAUUAUUGAUUCUUAAUUAUGUAAGAAGUCACUCAGUCUUUUAUUCAAUAAUUGCCACAGUAGUUAUUGCACAGUGACUCAUAUUAUUUGAUAUGAUAUAAUUAAACCAGUUGGCAGUAUUGAGAGUAUAUGUUAAUAAUUGUGAAUAAUGGUUCAAAGAUUGAAAAUGGUGUUGAUUAAAGAUAAGUAUGAUAUACAGAUGGUUGUUCAAUUAUUUUCUUUUUUACAAAAGUAAGUUUGGCAGGACUUGCGAACACUCUACUUUUACUAAAGUAGUAUGGACCACAACUCUAUUAUUGAACAAAUUUUAUUAAAACGUGUACAAAGUUGGUUUAAUUUUCUCUGUUGGACCAUAAAUUCCACUACCAUUUUUAUAUACCUCAUUUGGUUAAUUUGUCAAAGCAGAUGUGCUUGUUUACUAAAUUUUUAGUAUAAAUAGGUUGCUCGGUUGAGUAACUAAACACACAUCAUCACUACACUAAAAGUAUAGAAUUCUUUUACUUCAAUAUUGUGAGUAUUUCUAUUGAGUUUAAUGUUACUCCAAGUGUAGAUAAGGAAUGCAAGCAUUGUUUAAGUUGAUUAAUUUCAUAGAAAGCAAAAUCAAGUCACAUGCUAAGGUAAGGGAUAUCAUUAUUAUGGUAAGAGGGUAUCAUUUCACUGUUGAUUUACUUGAUUAUAAAUAUGAAUUAUGAUUUAAUUAUAAUCUGUGGUGGUUCAGGUGAAAACAUGUGAUGAGAGUUCUCUUUGUCUUGGGUAUAACCAAGAACUGUUGAUGAGUAUUACAGGAAUGAAAUAUUAACGAUGGACUUUUAUUCUAGGGGAGAUAGUAGACAUUAUGUUCUACUUGAUUCUUCUAAUGGAUUGUUGAUUUCGCUGCUAUUAUGGUUGGAAACUUUUAUCUUCUACCAUAUGUUCUAAAUAUCUGAAUUAUUAUUGAUGAAGGCUAUUGAUAAUUUAAUUAUCUUAAGUCAUGAUAUUCUUUACUGGGCUAUUUGUGCUCACCCUUUUACUUCAGCACCCCUUUUAGGUAAUAAAAGUGUAGCUGAGACUAGCAGAGAGAACAUGAGUAUAAAGUGUUGAUACGAAUUAGUCACAAGCCUAAUCAAAUUAUGAAACGUGUGGCAUAAUAAUUGUACUGAGAACUUAAAAUGUGUGUGACAUAUUUUAUACAUCAUUUGAUAUUUAAUUUUGGUGAACAACAAUUGGGUGAGGUGAAUCAGAAUUUGGAAACGUCAAAAAUGCACUCCAUUAGAAUGAGGAGGACAGAAAUCUUCUCGUGUUCCUUUGGGGACUUGAAAUAUUUGCUGCUGUACUUUAGAUGGCAUUGUAAUAAUUUGAGUAUGAAUAUUGUCGUAUUAUAUACGUUACAAUAUUUGUAUUGAAACUCACAGUAUAUGUGUCGUCGUAUUUUGCACUACAGUUGUAUAAAUGAAGCUGUCAGUCAUGUAUUUUCUAGCGACCAAGGAUGGGUGGCGUAUACCUAUUUUGGGGGCAUCACAACAGGAUACUGGAAUAGUGAGGUAUCAGACUUCUCUUCUUCUUUCUCUCUAUAAUUUCUCUAUAAUAAUUACUCUUGUGAGACUUAGUGAAUUGGUGAGAAUGAAGGAAGAAUGAGCUUCUAUUUAUAGGAAAAUAUAGUUUCGAUAAUUGCACGUUUUGGGGCUCGAAAUAUUACAAUAUAAUACCUUUAUCUUUUCUUUCAUUUUUAAUUUAGUCCUACAAGUAUUAUCAAACUUGCACCACCUCACCUAAUAGUAAAUCAUGUGAAUCAAUAGUAAAUCAUGUGACUCAAUAGUUCUAAACAUGUGAAAAAAAUAAUUACAGUAUAGUACCUUCAUCUAUAAUUUAAUCAUGCAAGUAUUAUCAAUCUUGCACCACCUCCCCUAAUAGUACAUACAUGUGAACACAUAGUUAUAAGCAUGUGAAUCAAUAGCAAUUAAUUCCUCAUUUAUUCGAUUAAUUACCCGAUUGGUCAAUAUAACCUCUAGACAUCAAUUAUUAUCGAAAUAAAUGUCGAUUUCCACUAACACUAAUAAUUCCAACACAAUGGAACUAUUAAUUUCAUCAUUAAUCAACACGAACUUAUUCAUAAUUAAUAUUAUAAUUCACAAUAUUUAACAACCAGGUCGUUCCCAGGAAAGAGGGGGCUUUCCGAUAAGGAUUUCUCCUUAUUGGCGCGCAAUUAGGUGACCAAACCUCUCCUUGAUAGAACUUCUAGACAUUGUCAAUAUUGCAAAUAAUAAUAUGAAUAACUUUGUUGUCUCAAUUAUUGAUUUAAUAAUAUAAUAUAUUAUACAGUUGAUACUAUGACAAUAAUUGAAUCAAUAAUAUGAGAGUUAUGAUGCAGCAAUUACUGUAGCAAUAAUUGAGUAUAACUGAGUGACUUCUUACGUAAGCAUCAAUAAUCAAUACCGUGUGCUUCUAUGCAACCACACGUAUUACUGUACUUUUACUACCGGGUAGUUCAACAGUUUUAACGGUAACACUCGCCGUUAUUUUUAUAAAAUGAUAAUUUUAUCAUUUUCUAACUACGACAAUACUUCCGUUGUGGGGUCCACAUCGUCGUACGAAUAUUUCUUGUUAAAACGAAUAUUCCCCUACCAAUCGAAUAUUAUAUAACAACUUUCUUACUUUACAAAAUUUAUAAAUAUUACACACAACUAUAACAUUAUAUCAAAUCCACACUAUAAUAUUCAAAAAAAUAUUUCGAGAAAUUUAAAUCUUUAUUCAUAAAAUUUGGGGUCUCACAAUCUCCCCUCCUUAUGAAAUUUUGCCCUCGAAAUUUACGUACGUACCAGGUAUGCUGAAGAGAUGAGGAUACCUUGACUUCAUUUCAGAUUCUAACUCUUGAGGUAUAACCUUUGAGUGUCGAAUAUAAUCCUUCUUAUCCAAGAUUUUAACACGUAUCUCCUCAUAAAUUAAAUCUUUUUCUAUCUCGUCUAGUUCUAAUUCAAUAAUGUGGUUUGGGUCAUCCACAUAAUUAUGUAACAUCGAUACGUGAAAAACGUUAAGAACACACGACAUACUUGACGGUAAAACGAGUCUAUAGGCCACAGUUCCUACUCGAUCGAGGAUUUCAAAUGGGCCAAUUAAAUCGAGGGUUGAGAUUUCCUCUAUUCAUCGACUCUUGCUUCUAGAAUAACGCCUUCUUGAACCUUCUUCUUCAUAUUCAUCAGCUCCAGGUGUGUAGUUUGAGCAGCUUUAACUUUAUCGAUUAAAGUCCAUUCUACUCGUAUAUUCGUUAUCUUCACGUGGGUCUCUAGAGUCUUUAACUCUAUCUUCGUCAUUGUAAGUUAUACGAAAUGGGUUUUUGUGUUAACAAUAUUGCACUCGUAAACGCAUACGAUCUUCUACUCAACGCGUCAGCUACCACAUUCGUUCUUCCACAAUGAUAUUGAAUGGUAUAGUCGUAAUCUUCAACAGCUCGAGCCAACAUCUUUGGCGUAUUAUAUGUUUGUUUUGGUUGAAGAAAUAUUUAAGGGUUGAAGAAAUGGGUUUUAUACUGUGGUCAAUACAAAAUUCGAUUUCACGCUCUAGGGUAGGCGAGGAAGUUCUUCGAGAAUACGUCAGGAAAUUUAUUAACGAUAGAAAUAUCAUUCAAAACUGUGACUCUCAUCCAAGACUUGGAUAGGACAUGAAAUGAAGGUUUCUACUAACGGAGUUUCAACCGAUAAGUCAAAGACUAAUUUCUUCGAAGUCAAAUUUAAACUUUGAGCGCAAGCAAGAGAGACAAAAUAAUGGGUAGAACCGGUAUCUAAUAAGGUAUAGACUUCGCCAGAAUUUAUAAUUAACUAACCUGUACUAACUUCGUUCGGGUUACUCGCUUUUUGAGAAGUCACGAAAAACGUUCUUCCUAAAACCACCGACUUUGUUUUGUCCGUAUCCGCCUUUAGUGCCACCAUCCCAACUGGACUUGACUUUAGCGCACGACAAAAUCGGGCUAGGUGAUCUUCUUUUCCAUAAUUAUAACAUGCUUUAGACUGUAUCACACAGUUUGGAACGGGUGCUGGUGAUACUGUCUUUCCAUCAUUUAAAACAUACGACCGACGGUCGUUCUCCUUCCUUUGAAACGGGUGCUGGUGCUACUGUCUUUCCAUCAUUAUUGAACCUUCUCUUCUUGAAAUUUCCACUUCUAUUAUCUUGGCCAUGAUUACCACUGAAGUGGUUACCAUUUCUAGCAUGAUAAUUUCCUCCACGAUGGUUAUCGUUGUUCCGAUGGCCGUUGCCACCGGUACGAUUAUUAUCGUGUUGCUAGUCAUUACCUUUUGGUUGAGCUGACUCAACGGUCUCAUGUGCUUCAUUGCUUAUCUCAACAUUUUCAGAUGCCUUUCUCAAACACUAUCACAAAACAAGGGUUAAUUGACAUGUCACAUAUUAUCCCUAUACUCUGACCGACCAAUUAAAUACCAAGUAAACUUAGGUAGGUCAUACUAGCGAAAGAAUUCUCCGUCUCUCCCCUCCUAGUUCUUGUCUCACAUCUCAGCCAGGGAUCAUAUUCCUAAGCUUUGAUACCAAUUGUGACGCCCCCAAAAUAGGUAUACAUCACCCAUCUUGAGUAGCUAGAUACAUGGUACAUAAAUUCAAAUACAACUUAAUUAUACAACAGUCGUGUAAAAUACGACAAAAUAUAGCUGAGAGUUUAAACAAGAAUAUUGUCAUCU
rnacentral:lncRNA from 1 species